rnacentral:rRNA from 1 species
UUUCCGGUUGAUCCCGCCAGAGGUCACUGUUAUCGGUGUUCGACUAAGCCAUGCGAGUCAAAUGUUCUUCGUGAACAUGGCGUACUGCUCAGUAGCACGUGGAUAACCUGCCCUUAGGUCUGGCAUAACCCCGGGAAACUGGGGAUAAUUCCGGAUAGAUCAUCGAUGCUGGAAUGCGCUUUGAUCCAAAGCUAUUGUGCCUAAGGAUGGGUCUGCGGUCUAUCAGGUUGUAGUGGGUGUAAUGUACCUACUAGCCUACGACGGAUACGGGUUGUGGGAGCAAGAGCCCGGAGAUGGAUUCUGAGACAUGAAUCCAGGCCCUACGGGGCGCAGCAGGCGCGAAAACUUUACAAUGCGGGGAACCGCGAUAAGGGGACACCGAGUGCCAGCAUCCUAUGUUGGCUGUCCAUAUGUCUAAAUCACAUGUGUUAGCAAGGGCCGGGCAAGACCGGUGCCAGCCGCCGCGGUAACACCGGCGGCCCGAGUGGUGGCCACUAUUAUUGGGUCUAAAGGGUCCGUAGCCGGUUUGGUCAGUCUUCCGGGAAAUCUGACGGCUCAACCGUUAGGCUUUCGGGGGAUACUACCAGGCUUGGGACCGGGAGAGGUAAGAGGUACUACGGGGGUAGGAGUGAAAUCUUGUAAUCCCUGUGGGACCACCAGUGGCGAAGGCGUCUUACCAGAACGGGUCCGACGGUGAGGGACGAAAGCUGGGGGCACGAACCGGAUUAGAUACCCGGGUAGUCCCAGCUGUAAACUAUGCUCGCUAGGUGUCAGGGACGGUGCGACCGUUUCUGGUGCCGCAGGGAAGCCGUGAAGCGAGCCACCUGGGAAGUACGGUCGCAAGGCUGAAACUUAAAGGAAUUGGCGGGGGAGCACUACAACGGGUGGAGCCUGCGGUUUAAUUGGACUCAACGCCGGA